GUUGAUCUUCAGAGCAGUAACAUUAUGUUCUCCAUCAAGAGAUUCUCAAAUCUUUUAUUUUCAUCAUUGAUGAUCAGUUCAGAACCACAGAAGUCUGAUUAACCAUUAAGGGUCAUGAGUAAUUUCAGUUUAAGUCAUCUCGUGUCUUGUUAAUCUGGUAAACAACAUCGUAGGGUACCUCGAACGUUGAAAACGCUAAUUCAACCAGAG
rnacentral:lncRNA from 1 species